UUUUGUUUUGUCUCACCGUGAGAGACGAUGAUCGGUUGCAGCCGGAUAAACGACGAGAUAAUUCGUUCGGCGGUGAAGUGAAACGAUUCGAUCGGUAGGUGCGAAGGAAGGAGAUGGUAUAAGGGACGAUAACGACAAGGUGGCACGCGGGCUGUAAUCAAAUGCAGGUUUAUUUAGAACGGGCGCUUUGAUAAAGUGGUUAGUGCGAAAGCGUGGAUCGAGCCAAUCAUACCUGAUUGCCUGGACGUGAGUUGUGCGAACCGAGAAAGAGAGGAGGAGAUAUCGAGGAAAGGAGAUAGAAAGGGAGAGGAGUCGCCUCGAGUUUGCUUGGACGCGUAACCAGAUGAAGACGUCCGAUGUUGCGCCACGUGAUUCGUAGAUCGACCCUCGAUUUCUCGACUCGAUAGACUUUGCCGAUCGAGGGACGAUUAUCCCUGGUGGAGGAGAACAACUCGAUAUCGUGGCUCCCGAUGGACUUGAAAAUGUGAAGAUUCGCCCUUUCGGUGGGGGAACAGGAGUUUCACUGGCAGGGAGGCAACGGGUCUGCCGGAGACGCCUAAUUCCUAAUUCCUAUUCUCGCCGUUGCUCUCGCCAUUGGGUCGAGGAGUGCGUGUCCCGAGAGGAGGGGACGCUUUCUCGAAUUCGAGUCCGAGCAUCGCCGCAGAAAAAUAUCUCUAUUAUUGUCAUGGAGAUGAACUUGGCCGCGGGAUGAAUGGCCGAGCGAUGAUGGAAAAACGCGGAGGAGAGAUCGUCGUUGCUUUUCAACGAAAGAAGAGUGGAAGACGUAACGUGACAUGGUGGAAAAUAUUCCGGAUGAUCUGCAUUUCCGUAAAAGGGAAUUAAGAAUGGGGAAUGGAGAAUGGACACGCUGUCGUCGGUUUUUUUUUCUUUCUUUCGAGCUUGUUCUGCUG